GUGCCAGCAGCCGCGGUAAUACGUAUGUCACAAGCGUUAUCCGGAUUUAUUGGGCGUAAAGCGCGUCUAGGUGGUUAUGUAAGUCUGAUGUGAAAAUGCACGGCUCAACUCUGUAUUGCGUUGGAAACUGCAUGACUAGUGUACUGGAGAGGUAAGCGGAACUACAAGUGUAGAGGUGAAAUUCGUAGAUAUUUGUAGGAAUGCCGAUGGGGAAGCCAGCUUACUGGACAGAUACUGACGCUAAAGCGCGAAAGCGUGGGUAGCAAACAGGAUUAGAUACCCUGGUAGUCCACGCCGUAAACGAUGAUUACUAGGUGUUGGGGGACGAACCUCACCGCCCAAGCUAACGCGAUAAGUAAUCCGCCUGGGGAGUCCGUGCGCAAGUAUGAAACUCAAAGGAAUUGACGGGGACCCCCACAAGCGGUGGAGCAUGUGGUUUAAUUUGACGCAACGCGAGGAACCUGACCAGCGUUUGACAUCUUAGGAAUGAGACAGAGAUGAUUCAGUGUCCCUUCGGGGAAACCUAAAGACAGGUGGUGCAUGGCUGUCGUCAGCUCGUGUCGUGAGAUGUUGGGUUAAGUCCCGCAACGAGCGCAACGCCUCUUCGUAUGUUACCAUCUUUAAGUUGGGGACUCAUGCGAUACUGCCUGCGAUGAGCAGGAGGAAGGUGGGGAUGACGUCAAGUCAUCAUGCCCCUUAUACGCUGGGCUACACACGUGCUACAAUGGGUAGUACAGAGAGUCGCAAAGCCGCGAGGUGGAGCUAAUCUCAGAAAACUAUUCUUAGUUCGGAUUGUACUCUGCAACUCGAGUACAUGAAGUUGGAAUCGCUAGUAAUCGCGAAUCAGCAAUGUCGCGGUGAAUACGUUCUCGGGUCUUGCACACACCGCCCGUCUGCACACACCGCCCGUCUGCACACACCGCCCGUC
rnacentral:rRNA from 1 species